UGCAGAAUCCCGUGAACCAUCGAGUCUUUGAACGCAAGUUGCGCCCGAAGCCUUUAGGCCGAGGGCACGCCUGCCUGGGCGUCA
rnacentral:rRNA from 21 species